rnacentral:rRNA from 1 species
GCCCCAGACUCCUACGGGAGGCAGCAGUGGGGAAUCUUCCGCAAUGGGCGAAAGCCUGACGGAGCAACGCCGCGUGAUCGAAUGAAGGCCUUCGGGUUGUAAAGAUCUGUUGACAGGGACGAAUAAGCAAUGCGAAUAGUUUUGUGUAUGACGGUACCUGUUUAGAAAGCUCCGGCUGACUACGUGCCAGCAGCCGCGGUAAUACGUAGGGAGCAAGCGUUGUCCGGAAUUACUGGGCGUAAAGGGCUCGUAGGCGGUAUGUCAAGUCAAGGGUGAAAUCCCCGCGCUCAACGUGGGAACUGCCUUUGAAACUGGCAAACUGGAGUGUGUGAGAGGAUAGUGGAAUUCCAGGUGUAGGAGUGAAAUCCGUAGAUAUCUGGAGGAACAUCAGUGGCGAAGGCGGCCACCUGGACCGGUAUUGACGCUGAGGUGCGAAAGCGUGGGGAGCAAACAGGAUUAGAUACCCCAGUA